CUACGGGAUACUCCAGUGAGGAAUAUUGCACAAUGGGGGGAACCCUGAUGCAGCAACGCCGCGUGGAGGAUGACGCAUUUCGGUGUGUAAACUCCUUUUAUGUGUCAAGAAAAUGACGGUAGCAUAUGAAUAAGCACCGGCUAACUCCGUGCCAGCAGCCGCGGUAAUACGGAGGGUGCAAGCGUUACUCGGAAUCACUGGGCGUAAAGGACGCGUAGGCGGGUUGGAAAGUCAUGUGUGAAAUCCUACAGCUUAACUGUAGAACUGCACUUGAAACUUCUAAUCUAGAGUAUGGGAGGGGGAGAUGGAAUUAGUGGUGUAGGGGUAAAAUCCGUAGAUAUCACUAGGAAUACCUAAAGCGAAGGCGAUCUCCUGGAACAUUACUGACGCUAAGGCGUGAAAGCGUGGGGAGCAAACAGGAUUAGAUACCCCCGUAGUC
rnacentral:rRNA from 1 species